AAAGGCGGGUUAAAAUCCCGCCCACCGAAAAUCUAAGGUUUCCUGGGCAACGUAAAUCGACCCAGGGUUAGUCGGUCCUAAGGCGUAUCUUGUGUAGUGCAAGAGAAGUCGAUGGAUAAGCUGGUUAAUAUUCCAGCACUACUGUAAUUUCUGAUGGAGGGACACAAUUCUAAGGUUUAAGCGUUUUAUUGGUAUGAGCGUUGAUUGUUCCAAGAAAUGAUCUAGGUAAAUCCGGAUCAACAAUUUCAAGGGAUUGUCUAGAGGUGAAUCCUCGGUGGAUCCGAUUUAGGUUAAAGAAUUGUCAAGAAAAACUUCUAGGGUUAAAAAUUAUAGUAUCCGUACUAAAACCGACACAGGUAGAUGAGGCGAGAAGCCUAAGGUGUACGAGAGAAUCUUCGUUAAGGAACUCGGCAAAACAGCGGCCGUAAUUUCGAGUUAAGGCCUGCCCUGUUUGCAGGGCCACAGCUAAAGAGAACAAGGGACUGUUUAACAAAAACACAGCUCUCUGCUAAAUCGAAAGAUGAUGUAUAGAGGGUGAAGCCUGGCCAGUGUCCGAACGUUAAGAGGAGGGGUUAUUUCACUUCGGUGGGAGAAGCUCUGAAUCCAAGCGCGGAUGAACGCCGGCGAUAACUAUAAUCGUCCUAAGGUAGCGAAAUUCCUUGUCGGGUAAGUUCCGACCUGCACGAAUGGCUUAACCACUUGGGCACUGUCUCAACGAAGUACUCGGUGAAAUUGCAAGACGAGUAAAGAUGCUCGUUAACCACAGUUGGACGAAAAGACCCCGUGAAGCUUUACUACAACUUGAUAUUGAAUUAGGGAUACACAUGUUCAGAAUAGGUGGGAGCCUUCGGGCGCCAGUGAGAUACCACCCUUGUUUAUUUUUAAUUCUAACCUCGAGAUUCGAGGGACAGUGUCUGGUGGGUAGUUUGUCUGGGGCGGAUGCCUCCCAAAAAGUAACGGAGGCGUUUACCAAGGUCGGCUAUCCCGGAAUGGAAACCCGGGAGAUAGCGUAAAGGCACAAGCCGGCUUUACUGCGAGACCUACAAGUCAAGCAGUCGCGAAAGCGGAACUUAGUGAUCCGACCAUUCAAUAUAGGAUGGUGGAAGCUCAUCGGAUAAAAGCUACUCCGGGGAUAACAGGCUAGUCAGGUCCAAGAGUCCACAUCGACGACCUGGUUCGGCACCUCGAUGUCGGCUCGUCGCAUCCUGGGGGUGGAGAAGCUCCCAAGGGUUGGGCUGUUCGCCCAUUAAAGCGGCACGCGAGCUGGGUUCAGACCGUCGUAAGACAGGUCGGUCUCCUAUCCACUGUGGUCGUGGAAACUUGAAGAGGCCCUUCCUUAGUACGAGAGGACCGGGAAGGACGAAGCUCUAGUGUACCUGCUGUUCUACCAAGGGCAUUGCAGGGUAGCUACCUUCGGUUAAGAUAAGCGCUGAAAGCAUCUAAGCGCGAAGCUGUCUCUAAGAUUAGGUUUCAUAGACU
rnacentral:rRNA from 1 species